GGCUUUAUAGUUGAUAUACAACAUUAAAUUGCAGAUUUAAAAGAGUUUUAUAACUAGAGCUU
rnacentral:tRNA from 1 species